GUGACCUGCGGAAGGAUCAUUAUUGAGAUUCAUUCUACACCUGUGAAACAAUAAUUGCUUGGCCGCAAGGCCAACGUUUAAACUAUUAAAUAUUAUAUCUGACAAACGAAAUCAAAAGUUUCAACAACGGAUCUCUUGGUUCUCGCAUCGAUGAAGAACGCAGCAAAGCGCGAUAGUUAGUGUGAAUUGCAGACGUGAAUCAUUGAGUUUUUGAACGCACAUUGCACUUUCUGGUAUUCCGGGAAGUAUACUUGUGCGAGCGUCAUUUCAUCUUCUCAAGCAAUUGGGUGUUGAGGCUGUUGUUAGCCUUGAAAAAGAUGAUAGAGUACAUGUUAGACACAAUGUGCUUUUUAUUAUUUUGACCUCGUAUCAAGCAAGAUUACCCGCUGAACUUAAGCAUAUCAAUAAG
rnacentral:rRNA from 1 species